rnacentral:sRNA from 1 species
AUACCAGUGUCAUAAAUCUAUUUUCAUUUUGUGCUUGCACAAAAAUGAAAGUUAGAUUUCAUGACAUGCCCAGAUAUGAGCCUAGAAGCGUGGCGUAAGCUGCGCGAUAUGCGAAUAUCUGAUAGAAUUGCGAGAGUGUACAGCACGCAGCAAUUCGUAUGGU